rnacentral:rRNA from 1 species
GAAUGAUGAGAGCUUGCUCUCUGAUUUUAGCGGCGGACGGGUGAGUAACACGUGGGCAACCUGCCCUACAGAUGGGGAUAACUCCGGGAAACCGGGGCUAAUACCGAAUAAUCAGUUUGUCCGCAUGGACAAACUCUGAAAGACGGUUUCGGCUGUCACUGUAGGAUGGGCCCGCGGCGCAUUAGCUAGUUGGUGGGGUAAUGGCCUACCAAGGCGACGAUGCGUAGCCGACCUGAGAGGGUGAUCGGCCACACUGGGACUGAGACACGGCCCAG